CUUUAACCCUGGAGUGAGUGAGAAGGAAGCAGCAGCUUUUAUCAUCAAAGUGAUUCAGAACUGCUUCCUGAGCAGCAGGAGCAAAACGUAUGACAUGAUCCAGUACUAUCAGAACCAGAUCCCCUACUGAGUGUGUGUUUGUGUUUCUCUUACUGUCUCUUAACGCUAAGUUGCACUGUUGUCUCGGUCUGGUGUGUUUGUGCACUUUAUACACCUGAAAUGUGUUUACAUGGAUUUAUUCGCACUGAUAUCAGCACUUAUGAAAUGUUUUCUGCACACAUCACACUGUCUGCUGUAGAUGCUUUUAAAAUUACAAAACCACUUUUGAGCCACUUUAAUUUUUAGAUUUUGUGAUUUUGUUGUCAGUCUUAAUUUCCAGUUAAAUCAUGUGGUUGUUAAACUACUGCAGAUGUGGUUAUGGACACAAAAGGCUUGGACUACAGACAAAUGUUAUAUUUUAGAGGUGACAAAUUUACACAUUAAUGCACAAAUUAACAAAAAUCAGUAUUUGAAUGUUUAUUAUGUAAUAGAGGAGAGAUGUUUGAAGAGUUAAUUGUCUGGUUUUUCUUGGUAGUGUUUGCAGCUCUGAAUAUGUGUUCAUGUUUCUGAAUCACUGCUUGUUUUGCAGUAUGUGACUGUUUAUUGAUCAGUUGAUCGUACAGUGUGACUAAUCUUUGUUUGCUCAUUUAUACAAAUCAAUUUUCUGCCUCUCUUUCUGUUCUAUUCUGUUUGUUUGGAUUAUUUAUUCUGUGUGUGUGCUAUUUAAUAAAUGCCCACGGUAAUCACCUGUA